rnacentral:rRNA from 1 species
GAGAGUUUGAUCCUGGCUCAGAACGAACGCUGGCGGCGUGGAUAAGACAUGCAAGUCGAGCGCUGAUUUUCUGGUAGCAAUAUUAGGAAGUUGGAGCGGCGCAAGGGUGCGUAACACGUGGAUCAUCUGCCUGGAAGUUCGGAAUAAUUCCUCGAAAGAGGGACUAAUGCCGGAUGUGAUUGAAGGAUUAAAGCUGGGGACCGCAAGGCCUGGCGCUUCCAGAUGAGUCCGCGGCCUAUCAGCUAGUUGGCGGGGUAACGGCCCACCAAGGCUAAGACGGGUAGCUGGUCUGAGAGGACGACCAGCCACACUGGAACUGAGACACGGUCCAGACACCUACGGGUGGCAGCAGUCGAGAAUUUUUCUCAAUGGGCGAAAGCCUGAAGGAGCGACGCCGCGUGGGGGAUGAAGGGCUUCGGUCCGUAAACCCCUGUCAUUUGCGAACAAACCUUAUGAUUGAACAUUUCAUGAGCUGAUUGUAGCGAAAGAGGAAGGGACGGCUAACUCUGUGCCAGCAGCCGCGGUAAUACAGAGGUCCCAAGCGUUGUUCGGAUUCACUGGGCGUAAAGGGUGCGCAGGUGGGUUGGCAAGUUCGAUGUGAAAGCCCCGGGCUUAACCCGGGAAUGGCAUUGGAUACUGCUGAUCUGGAGGGUCGGAAGGGGGACUGGAAUUCUUGGUGUAGCAGUGAAAUGCGUAGAUAUCAAGAGGAACACCAGUGGCGAAGGCGAGUCCCUGGACGAUACCUGACACUGAGGCACGAAAGCCAAGGGAGCAAACAGGAUUAGAUACCCUGGUAGUCUUGGCUGUAAACGGUGCGCAUUUGCUGUAAACGGAAUCGACCCCGUUUGUGGCGAAGCUAACGCGAUAAAUGCGCCGCCUGGGAAGUACGGUCGCAAGAUUAAAACUCAAAGAAAUUGACGGGGGCCUGCACAAGCGGUGGAGUAUGUGGCUUAAUUCGAUGCAACGCGAAGAACCUUACCUGGCCUUGACAUGCAUGUGGUAGAACCAUGAAAGUGGGACGAUCCCGCAAGGGAAGCAUGCACAGGUGCUGCAUGGCUGUCGUCAGCUCGUGUCGUGAGAUGUUGGGUUAAGUCCCGUAACGAGCGCAACCCCUAUUCUUAGUUGCCAACAGGUAAAGCUGGGAACUCUAAGGAGACUGCCGGUGACAAGCCGGAGGAAGGUGGGGAUGACGUCAAGUCCUCAUGGCCCUUACGGGUAGGGCAACACACGUGUUACAAUGGUCAGUACAGAGGGAAGCGAAGUCGCGAGACGGAGCGAAUCUCUUAAAAGCUGAUCGUAGUCCGGAUUGGAGUCUGCAACUCGACUCCAUGAAGUUGGAAUCGCUAGUAAUCGCGGAUCAGAACGCCGCGGUGAAUACGUUCCCGGGCCUUGUACACACCGCCCGUCACAGCAUGGGAGUGGGUUGCACCAGAAGUAGAUAGGCUAACCGAGAGGGGGUCGUUUACCACGGUGUGAUUCAUGACUGGGCUGAAGUCGUAACAAGGUAGCCGUAG